UACAGAGGUCUCAAGCGUUGUUCGGAUUCAUUGGGCGUAAAGGGUGCGUAGGCGGCGCGGUAAGUCGGGUGUGAAAUCUCGGGGGCUUAACUCCGAAAACUGCAUUCGAUACUGCCGUGCUUUGAGGACUGGAGAGGAGACUGGAAAUUUUACGGUGUAGCGGUGAAAAUGCGUAGAUAUCGUAAGGAAAGACCAGUGGCGAAGGCGGGG
rnacentral:rRNA from 1 species